ensembl:lncRNA
GGAUGUUAAGUGUGUGCUCACAGUUGGUGUUGGUCAGGUCUUCCAUGACAUCGCUUGCGCAGCUCCACAAGGCUGUGACUAGACGUUCUGCACCAUGUGUGCUGGUCGUGAACUCCAGAAGCUUCCUCAUCCUCUCCUGAUCUUCUCUGCUCGCACUAUCGCUGCUUUUUCGUUGGUUAAUUGGAGGCGAUCAAGGAUUUCGACGACAUUUUUUAGCCUGUCGAUUAACUUAACAUUGUUUUUCCUUAGAAACAACAGGUUUUCAUCUGUAAUUUCAAAAAGGGUUUAAAAAAAAAAAAACAGGUGAAACAAGAUUGUUAGUUUCUAUUUUAUUUGGUAGGGAUGAAGUGGAGGUGCCUUGAAUAUUCUUGUUUCCAGUUUGAGAGUUGUCUAUCUUAUCUCUCUGUGCUGAAAAACAUAAUAAAAAAGGAAAUGUGAAAUUUCUAGGUAAGACAUUGCUGAGAACAGAAAACCCCACUGUUGAGAACAAUAACAAUUCACAAUCCUUAGGAUUGAGGUUAGGUUGACUCAUACACAGCUGGUGGGUGGGGCUAGGUGGAAUCAUACACAGCUAGAGGGUGGGCUAGGUGGAAUCCUACACUGCUGAGGGUGGGGCUAGGUAGAAUCAUACACUGCUACAGGGUGUGGCUAGGUGGAGUCAUACACAGCUGGAGGGUGGGCUAGGUGGAAUCAUACACGGCUAGAGGGUGGGGCUAGGUGCAAUCAUACACUGCUACAGGGUGUGGCUAGGUGGAAUCAUACACAGCUGGAGGGUGGGCCUAGGUGGAAUCAUACACAGCUAGAGGGUGUGGCUAGGUGGAAUCAUGCACAGCUAGAGGGUGGGGCUAGGUGGAAUCAUGCACAGCUAGAGGGUGUGGCU